AACGCACCUUGCACCCUUUGGAAUUCCGAAGGGUAUGCUCGUUUGAGUGUCAUUGUACUCUCACACUCUCCGAUCCUUUGGGUCUGGGGAGUGGUGGACAUGGGUGUUUGCUGCUUUCCGUGCGGCUCACCUGAAAUGUGUUAGUGCAUCUCUUGGUUGGACAUAGUACGGCGUGAUAAGUGUCUUCGCCGGCUCCUCGUAAUGCGAGGGUGGCUGAUCGGGAGCUCUGUGCUUUCAAACCGUCUUCGGACAUCUCUGACAACUUGACCUCAAAUCGAGUAGGACUACCCGCUGAACUUA
rnacentral:rRNA from 1 species